rnacentral:rRNA from 1 species
GACGAACGCUGGCGGCGUGCCUAAUACAUGCAAGUAGAACGCACAGUUUAUACCGUAGCUUGCUACACCAUAGACUGUGAGUUGCGAACGGGUGAGUAACGCGUAGGUAACCUGCCUGGUAGCGGGGGAUAACUAUUGGAAACGAUAGCUAAUACCGCAUAAUAUUAAUUAUUGCAUGAUAAUUAAUUGAAAGGUGCAAUUGCACCACUACCAGCUGGACCUGCGUUGUAUUAGCUAGUAGGUGAGGUAACGGCUCACCUAGGCGACGAUACAUAGCCGACCUGAGAGGGUGAUCGGCCACACUGGGACUGAGACACGGCCCAGACUCCUACGGGAGGCAGCAGUAGGGAAUCUUCGGCAAUGGACGAAAGUCUGACCGAGCAACGCCGCGUGAGUGAAGAAGGUUUUCGGAUCGUAAAGCUCUGUUGUAAGAGAAGAACGGGUGUGAGAGUGGAAAGUUCACACUGUGACGGUAUCUUACCAGAAAGGGACGGCUAACUACGUG